UGCAGAAAACUCAACAUUUCUCUAAAAAUAUCAAAAUUUAUACACCCUUAAGACUCUGAUGUCAGUCACUCUCAUCUCUCACAAUCACAUAUACCCAAACCCAAACCCUCUCACAGCUAUGUCAUGGUCGAGGAAUUGCGUUGAAGAGAUCACUGCAGUCAAGCCCUUAUGCCAAUGCAUGGCCAGACUUUCGUGUUCUCUUGCAUCGGUAGAAGCAAUAUGAAUCUUUCACUCCCCCUAACUCCAAUCUCACUCAAAAUUUCUUCCUUCCUUUCAUUCUUCACCAAUCUUAUCUUGGCUAACGAAUCUAAUCUUAGUCGAACUCCAGCUCUUGUGAACCAUAGUAUCUUGUUGUCGUGCCCAGGGACGCUUGCCUGGCAAAGCUCCUCUGUCGCGCUCCCCUGCAAAUGCAAGAAGUCGCCGUUGUCAAUUACCGAUCUUUCAUUGCUGCUACCAACGCCUUAAUCGCCAUGAAGUCGCCUCCAUUGACAACCAUCUCGAAUCUCUCAUUGUAAAUGGCCCUGAAGUUUUGAGCAAAGAUCAUGACGGAUUGUAAAUCAGCUUUUGACUAAGAUAGAUGGUGUGGAGUCACUCAAAAAUGUUUUGCUUAUUGGAAUGACUAACAGAAAGGAUAUGCUUGAUGAAGCUCUCUUACCCUUUGUUCACUUGAAUGGAUUUGGGAGAGACUGAUUGAGUGGAUUUAAAGAUAAAUUUUGUUGUUGUUUAUUUGAGGGAAUUUGGAGGUAAGUGAGAGUGAAUUUGGAAGCAACGUUUGUGAGAAUUAGUGUAAGAUUUGAUUGAUGUGACAGAUUAAAAAAAUUUACUUCCAAAUUCACUCUCACUUACCUCCAAAUUCACUCAAAUAAACAACAAAAAAAUUUAUCUUCAAAUCUUCUCAAAUCCACUCAAUCACUCUCCCCCAAAUCCAUUCAAGUGAACAAAGCCUUAAGACCAGGGAGAUUGGAACUCCAGGUUGAGAUAAGCCUUCCUGAUGAAAAUGGUCGACUACAAAUUCUUCAAAUUCACACCAACAAAAUGAAAGAGAAUUCUUUUUUAGAUCCAGAUGUGAACCUAAGAGCUUGGCACUCAAUAAUUGGGGACUUGCUCUUCAGUAUGGAUUAGCAUAGGACACUUUAAGAACUGGGGGAUCAGUGAGUGCUCAAGAAGUUUCGCCAAAUGAACUGUAGAGUCAGUCUACAAUAUAUAUUAUUUCUGCUAAUGCACUGAAACCAAAUUAUUCAGUUUAUGACAGUGCCUUGCGGUUGGUGCGCUCUAUGGUGAUAAAUACCUGAGCAUGUUGCCACUUGGUAUUGUGUUCUAACGCGUUAUCUAACACCGCCAUUAGUUGCCUGAUUAGUCAUUGUCACAGUGGCUUCAUGUUACUUUCUAUUUAUAUAUUUAUAAUUUAAUUGCCUUUUUUCUCUUAAUAAUUAGAAAAGUACUUGAUAUGGUUUAUUGACCAAUCUCUUAACCAUUCUUGUUGGCAAAAUCUUUCUUUGUAUAAAUGAUUCUGCUUUAUAAAAUUUGCAAUUACUUUCCGGUGUGAUCUAUUCUUUCACACGGCUUGGGAAUGAGAUUACUUAGAUAUGGAAGGAUUGAACUCAUGACGGCCACAUACAUGGCAGAAGUUGAGGUGUUCUCUCCAGGAAGCUGCAGAAAGCCGUGACUUUCAUUAAUGCAGAGAUUGAAAAUGAAGAAGUCAUGGAAAAUUUAGGUAUAGCUGAAAUUUGAACAUUAUAUGAGGAAAAUUUGAUGGGAAAGUUUCUGUACGCUUAUAAAAAUAAAUAGAAUACAGAUAUAUGUUAGAUCAGUGGUAGGUAUUUUCCAGAUUUAGUUGUGUGGAGAGAUGAUUGCAAUUGCAACACGCAAUUGGGUGAUACACAUGCAGAAUGUAUAAGAAAAACUUUCUUGUGUUAUGUUAUUGCUGUUACUAAAAAAAAUUGUUAUAAGUGUGAGAGAAUUU